CCUUGUACACACCGCCCGUCACACCAUGGGAGUCGAUUGCUCCAGAAGUGGCUACGCCAACCCGUAAGGGAGGCAGGCCCCCAAGGAGUGGUUGGUAACUGGGGUG
rnacentral:rRNA from 1 species